rnacentral:rRNA from 1 species
UACGAAGGGGGCUAGCGUUGUUCGGAAUCACUGGGCGUAAAGCGCACGUAGGCGGAUCUUUAAGUCAGGGGUGAAAUCCCGAGGCUCAACCUCGGAACUGCCUUUGAUACUGGGGAUCUCGAGUCCGGGAGAGGUGAGUGGAACUGCGAGUGUAGAGGUGAAAUUCGUAGAUAUUCGGAAGAACACCAGUGGCGAAGGCGGCUCACUGGACCGGCAUUGACGCUGAGGUGCGAAAGCGUGGGGAGCAAACAGG